rnacentral:rRNA from 1 species
GAUGAACGCUGGCGGCGUGCUUAACACAUGCAAGUCGAACGGAAAGGCUCCUGCUUGCAGGGGUACUCGAGUGGCGAACGGGUGAGUAACACGUGGGUGAUCUGCCCUGCACUUCGGGAUAAGCCUGGGAAACUGGGUCUAAUACCGGAUAGGACGAUGGUUUGGAUGCCAUUGUGGAAAGUUUUUCGGUGUGGGAUGAGCUCGCGGCCUAUCAGCUUGUUGGUGGGGUAAUGGCCUACCAAGGCGUCGACGGGUAGCCGGCCUGAGAGGGUGUACGGCCACAUUGGGACUGAGAUACGGCCCAGACUCCUACGGGAGGCAGCAGUGGGGAAUAUUGCACAAUGGGCGCAGCCUGAUGCAGCGACGCCGCGUGGGGGAUGACGGCCUUCGGGUUGUAAACUCCUUUCGCUAGGGACGAAGCGUUUUGUGACGGUACCUGGAGAAGAAGCACCGGCUAACUACGUG